GAUAUAGUUCACUCAGCACACUCAAGAUUCUUCCUUCCUUAUGCUCGUGUGUGUGGUAAGCUCUGUGCUUUAUCGCCUGUGUAGAUUUCCAUGUUUGAAUUCCAUCCAAUGCUUUGAUAUGUUUUUUUUUUUUCUUUUCACUUUUUGAGACAGGAUCUCAUGUAACUCAAGCUAGCUUUGAGCUCACUAUAUAGUGAAAAAUGUCUUUGAAUUCCCAAUGUUCCUGCCUCAAACUCUCAUGUGCUGAGAUUAUAGGUGUUGCCCGCCAUACUUGGCUCUAUGCUUAUUGUGAUAACCAGAUUCUUUAUUCUGUUACAAGGUUAUAUAUUAGUUUGUUUCCCCAUUGCUGUGUGUGGUGGUUUGAGAAGAACGGGCCCCAUAUAUAUUUGAAUGCUUAUUGCUUUGAAUGGUUGGUUACUGGAGAGUGGUACUAUUUGAAAGGAUUAGAAGGAUUAGGAGCUGUGGCUUUAUCAGAGUAGGUGGAACCUCUUUGGAGGAAGUGUGUCACUGGGGGUUCGACUUGAAGUUUCAAAAGCCCAUGUCAGGCUUUCUCUCUCUCUCUCUCUCUCUCUCUCUCUCUCUCUCUCUCUCUGUCUGUCUACACAUCAGAAUGUAGCUCUAAGCUACUGGCUCCAGGGUAAUGCAUGCUCUCUGCCAUGGUAAUAACAGACUAAAUCUCUGAAACUGUAAGCAAGCCCCCAGUUAAAUGCUUUCUUUUUAAAGAGUAUCCCUUGCCUGAAAUGCUUAGGAUCAUAAGUAUUUGGGGUUUCAGAUUUGUUUUCAAUUUUGAUAAAUAUUCAUACACACAUUAUUUGGGAUGUAGAAUCCAAGUCUAACUGCAAAAUAUACCGAUUCCUAGACACCUUAGACAUGUGGAUUGAAGAUAUAAUUUUGUACACUGUCUUAACUGCCCCUGCCUUUUGACUGCAAGCCACCACAAGAUAUGAGGAGGUUUCUAUUUGUGAUGUCAUGCCAGCACUUAAAGUUUCGAGGAUACUCAAUCUGUAUUGUUCUUACAUUUAUUUAUUUAUUUAUUUAUUUAUUUAUUUAUUUAUUUAUUUAUUUAAAUUGCUGUGAUGGGAAGACACCAACCUUGACCUCUUCUCCUCCAAACAGCCAAAAACCCUUUCCAGUGUAUGUCUUUGUCAGCAAUGCUCAUCAGCAAUAAGUUCUGUGUAUGGGACCUCCUUAGGAACAAAAAAAAAUUCAGCUUCACAAAUGGAGAUGGUGUCAGGGUAGUAAAAGAGUUCAAAACAGGGGUUCUGAAAAACCACUUGGGGUCACUGGUAAAUGCAAAUUGAGAACAAAUGUUACAUUGGAGAGGCCCCUGGGGCUCGAGGCCUGGCUCAGAAAAGGUUUUGCCAAGUGUCUGCCUGGCCUCCACCAAUUGGUUUGUACUGGGUCACCUACAUGUGCAGUGGCUUUCACUCAAGGGCAUUUUAAUGGAGCUGCCUAGCACUCUGCCCUAGGAGUGGUUCCAAGACCAGAGUGCUGGUAUUUGGUUUUAGAAUGCGCUGUAUGGUGGCCAAGCUGAGAUUAGUUGCAUCCCUUGACUCCUGGGCCAGUGACUUUCUUUUUCCACUACAUCAGUCUGAUCCUCUUAACAACAAUGUGCCCAAUAAGGAGGCAAACUUAUGACCCAAAGAUUAAGUGUAUCAGGCCCUCUGUGUGAGCCUGGCAGGCUGAAGUAUUUCCUUUUUUCCUCUGUACUCACCAGGCCAAAGUACACACUUUUAUUUUUUUAACAUAUCAGUUUCCCUUUACUCUCUCACAUACUUGAUAAAAUGUGCAAAGAUUCACUGUCCUUUUCAGCUGCAGUCACCAUUUGCCCACAUGUAAGCCAUCAUUUUCUUGAUCAUCAGAUACUGUUUAUUGAGUUCUCUAGGGAGCAUAACUGUGAACCUGAUCCUGGAAAAUGUGUGCUCCCAGAUGGCAUCCUGAUCCUCUAAAAUCUCAUGAGCAAGAGGAAAAUACCCACAACCUUGGGCUCUGAGGUCCCAAAAGAGUUGUGUUUCCAUGUCAGUUCACAGAAAAUGUCGUGUACCUUUAGCACCAUAAUGUGUGGAUGGUACUUGUCUCCCGCAGAAUGGUAGAGAAGAGGGCCCUUUCACAGGCUGUCAGGUUUCCAUAGAAGCUUUAAGGGGAUGAAGGUUUCUUGCCUCACUGUGUGUUAACCGUGCAAGUGCACGGCAUUCAUAUUUGGAGACAGGAGUCAGUGUUUCACCUAUGUGAUCCACAUAGAAAAGAGAUGAGAACCACUGGGCUAGAUCAUGGCUGCAGCUGGACAGUAUACCAUUCAAUUAUUGUCCCAAGCCAUGCUUAUUUUCAUGCAUAAGAACAAUAUUUGUACAUGAUUACACU
rnacentral:lncRNA from 1 species